AUUGACCGCUGGCGGCAGGCCUAACACAUGCAAGUCGAACGAGUGGCGGACGGGUGAGUAAUGUAUGGGAAACUGCCCGAUGGAGGGGGAUAACUACUGGAAACGGUAGCUAAUACCGCAUACCAUCGGAUGUGCCCAGAUGGUAUUAGCUAGUAGGUGGGGUAACGGCUCACCUAGGCGACGAUCCCUAGCUGGUCUGAGAGGAUGACCAGCGAAACGGGAACUGAGCCACGGUCCAGACUCAUACGGGAGGCAGCAGUGGGGAAUAUUGAACAAGGGGCGCAAGCCUGAUGCAGCCAUGCCGCGUGUAUGAAGAAGGCCUUCGGGUUGUAAAGUACUUUCAGCGGGGAGGCGUGACCCGCAGAAGAAGCAGCGGCUAACUCCGUGCCAGCAGCGGCGGUAAUAC
rnacentral:rRNA from 1 species